AGUGAACGCUGGCGGUAGGCCUAACACAUGCAAGUCGAACGGCAGCACAGUAAGAGCUUGCUCUUACGGGUGGCGAGUGGCGGACGGGUGAGGAAUACAUCGGAAUCUACUUUUUCGUGGGGGAUAACGUAGGGAAACUUACGCUAAUACCGCAUACGACCUACGGGUGAAAGCAGGGGAUCUUCGGACCUUGCGCGAUUGAAUGAGCCGAUGUCGGAUUAGCUAGUUGGCGGGGUAAAGGCCCACCAAGGCGACGAUCCGUAGCUGGUCUGAGAGGAUGAUAAGCCACACUGGAACUGAGACACGGUCCAGACUCCUACGGGAGGCAGCAGUGGGGAAUAUUGGACAAUGGGCGCAAGCCUGAUCCAGCCAUACUGCGUGGGUGAAGAAGGCCUUCGGGUUGUAAAGCCCUUUUGUUGGGAAAGAAAAGCAGCAGGUUAAUACCCCGCUGUUCUGACGGUACCCAAAGAAUAAGCACCGGCUAACUUCGUG
rnacentral:rRNA from 1 species